UGGAAGUGGAGAUGAGGUCAAGUGGUAGAGCUCCAGCCUCGAGUGAAGAAGUUGAGCAAAAGCAUGAGCUCCAAAACUGGUUCAAAAAAAAAAAAGUUCUAAGCAUGCAGUGCCCUUGUUAUACAGUAGGCUGAGAAUGGGGGGUGGGGAAUUCAGCCAGCUUUGGGGGGCAGGGGUGGACAACCUAAGAGGUCACCACACUCUGGCCUGAAUGGGCCAAGUCUAAGGCUGCUUGACUAGGAAGUGGGGAAGAGCUUGCUAAGGUUGCUUGGGGGUCUAGGGUUGUAAGUGAGAACAAUGUGCACUUCCUUGGGUGAGAACAUAAAAAGGCCUGAGGGCAGCUUGCCUGGCUUAUUAUUCAGGGAAGGAAAUGUUUUAAUGAGGUUGUGCCUUCCAAGUGAGGCAUCCAUGGCGGAAAGUCCAGGGGCUAAGGCCAUGAUGUCCUUUUCUUGGGUAGCUGUAAACUUCUAGACAGAAGUGUGGUCAUAGGGGUGGUAACAGCCUCUAGACAGGCUGUAGCUACCCUACUUUUGUGUUCUCAGAGGGUGACUGGUGGAAGUAGGCCAGCGGCUGGCUGCAGUGGCUCCAGGCAGUGUUUGCUAGCAGGCAAUACUUGUCUGUCCUGUCCCUGCCUUCACUCUGUCUGCCUGGGUAACUAGGACUUCUACCUCAACCGUGCGACCUAUGCAAGGACGGUGUGGACCAACGCCUGCUGCCUGGUGCUGCCAGCUUGCUGGGCUCCACCCGGAGGGCGGAGACAGGAGAGGACGGGAGCUCCACUGUGAAUCGGUGGCACCCGCAGGAGGUGCUGGGGCUGGUCCAGUUUGUACUGUCGAUAGUUUUAGAUAAAGUAUUUAUCAUUUUUUUAAAAGUAUAAACAAUUCUGACUUAUUUUAUUCCAUCUAAGUCGUUAAAGGCAACCUAUUGAGAAAUGUCUAUAUAAGAGAGAAUCUAUAUAAAGACUCGAACUUGCAGGGCUGGCCCACCAGCGGAGACGCCGACUGCCUGCCUGCUCCGGUGCUAUCUCACCACCAGGCCCGCACCAGCCUCCACCUUGGUGCUGCCCUGGACAUUGACCAACGCCAAAACCAGUUCUCAGAAGCGCCGGCUGCUUGUUAACUGUACCAAAGGCAUGCCCAACUCUGGGGUUUUUUCAUAGGGUCCUUCAGAGGAUGCCAGAGCUUACCUUCAGACCUCCCCAUCCUCCCACCCUUACCCCUCUGUCAACCUUGCCCCGUCACUGUGAAUGCUCCAGCUGGUAACUGGCUAGCUAGGGCUGUGCCUUUGGCAUAUGAGCAGGGCUGGCAGGUGCUGGGGUGGACUGGGACCUUGGUUUGGUGCAGCAGGCAGCAUUUCCAGCUAUUCUGAGUGGUGCUGCACACAUGGCUUUGUACUUGAUUCCUGGAGGCUGGUUUGGCUUGUUUGACAAGUGCAUUUACUUUUGUAUUCCUUUGCUUUUUCUGACUUGUGGCAAGCUGGCUGGGUGACAUGGAGCAGGCCCGCCGUGGGUUCCUUGGUGUUUUGUGUAUAGGAGAGAGUCACACUGAUGGGUGACAGUAUUUUAUAGAGAUGUGAUGAAAAUUUAUAAAUUUCAUAGACUUGACUGCAUUUAUUUUUAGAUUGUAUAAUGCACAAUGAACUUAAAAAUGAAAGUGAAGGGGGAAAAUUAUUUAUUUGAAGGCACAAAAAUGGUUACCUGCCCUGGGGCUGGGGACCCUGCAGGAAACAUGGCCCACUGUGUCCUCUGGUCAGCUCCAGCUUGCCACUGCUCCUCUAGCUGCUGUGGAUGCUCCUAGCUAGGCAUCCUCAACCCCCAAAAUUGGCAUCUUUAGCCUGGGGGCAGAUGUGUUAGAUGUAGCCACAGACUGGCCAGGGCACAGCAAGAGCAGGACUUCCUGGGCUUGCUUAUAAGCCUACCCUGGUUUUGACCUAGAUCUGACUCAGAAGCCUGAGCCUCGGCUUCUAGUUGGGAAGGGAGGGCCUAAAAGCAUCAGGCCUAUCUCUGCACUCAGCCCCAGGCAGGGGGUCCCCUUAAGGAAUCCUGUGUAUCAGGUCUAACCCACCCUGACUGGAGCCCCGAAGAUGGUGCUGGUGACUCCUCCCCUUCUCCUCCUCAUUCAGUGUUGGUGCUCUUCUGCUGGGCCUAUAGGUGCUGUGCCUCAUUCCCUUGGACCCUGGGGGUGGAGUGGGGAGAAGGGCCCUCUAGGACACUUCAGGGUGAUAGUAGCAAAGCUGGCACAUAAUCCCUGAUUUGGAAGAAAACACUCUUUUAACACUUGCGUGUUCUUGCCUGCCUGCCCACCCAGGCGGCCACAGCUUGGUGCACUUGGGCCAUGCUACUGCAUGGAUUCCUGCUGACAGGCCAUAUUUAAUAAAUAUCUGUCCUGUGACCUGAUCUACAUACCUGAGUGCUGGGAGACAAAAGCGUUGUUUGGGGCGUGUGCCCAACACAGUGCUGGGUGGCAGAGUACCCAGCACCCAGCAUGAAUACAUAUCCCUACUUUGAGCCACCAGAGGGACAGACACUGGCUCUGGCUCCAACAGGCCCCUUGCUCCCUGCACAGAUACCCACUGACUUAAGUGUUUUCCUGCAACUGGGUGUGGGACAGGUGACAUUGUGUCGGAGCCUGAUGUCAUUUUGGUGGUCCAGGCCAUUUGGAUUGAGGGCAUGCUGCUGUGGACCUAGUCUCCCUGUGGCUCUUGCCCAGGAACUGACCAAUAAACUGUAGAGAUUAGGACAAUAUAUCCCCACACACAGAUCUGGGAGGUACCCUGCUAACUAGCAGGAACUGGCUCUCAUGUCUUUAUGCUAUACCACUGGUAGAGACUAAAACUCCCUCAUUCCUCUGUUCCUCCCACCCCACCCUCUACUCCAUUUAUAAGUCCAGUACCACACAGCAUUCCUCCCUCUGGGCCUUCAUCUCUAACUUGGCACAGCUCUGCUUCUUCCUGUAGUGAGCUCUGUACUUAACGGGUGUCCCACUGCAUUGUUUUUGCCUCUAGGCACUGUAAUAAAAUCAAUCUUCACUUGAA